UCCCUGUUACCAGGGCAGUCUGAUUAGAAAAAUUCAACUAAUCACAAGGGUUGCGCUCGUUAAUGGACUUAACCAAACAUCUCACGACACGAGCUGACGACGGCCAUGCAUCACCUGUCACUUGAUUCCCGAAGGCACAUCCGCCUUUCGGCAGACUUCCAAGGAUGUCAAGCCUGGGUAAGGUUCUUCGCUUACCGUCGAAUUAAACAACACGCUCCACCGCUUGUGCGGGUCCCCGUCAAUUCCUUUAUGUUUUAAGCUUGCGCUCGUACUCCACAGGCGGGAUGCUUAACGCGUUAGCUUCGCUACUACUCGGGUCGAUACGAAUAACAGCUAGCAUCCAUAGUUUACGGCGUGGACUAC
rnacentral:misc_RNA from 1 species